rnacentral:lncRNA from 10 species
ACGGAGAUGGCUGUGUGUGUGACAUCCCCUUAGUGCUAGACUCAAGCUAAUCCUUUGGGGAAUGUUUGAGGUGGACCAGGGGCCCUCAUUUUUUUCUCUUUUAUACAGGUUAGGACUCCUAGGACAUCAAGUGGUAACUCAUCAUUAUCACCAUCACACAGCAGCUGGAACCAGCAGCCUCACCAGGCCUUUCUCCUUUAAUAAUGACAAACAUGGUGUGCAGUCUGGGCCACUUAAUCCUGUUCUGCAGAUGGGGACUCUGAGACAUAAAGAGGUAAAGAUCAUGCAGGUGACAAAGCUAGCUGAAGAUUAGUAUUAUGAGAUAUGAGAAUAGUAACUGAAGGGUUGAUUUGUAAAUGUGAAAAAUUGGAAAUCAGCCUUGAUUUCCAACAAUAGGGUAUUGAUGUGUAAUACAACCACACAGUAGGGUAUUGUAUAGCGACUAAGAAUGAUACAGCAGUAUUUGUUGACCUGGGAACAUUUUUCACAAUAUGCUUUAAAAAAAGAUAGAUAAGUGCUUAUUAAUAAUAUAGGUACAGGGACUCAAGUCAAAGUGGGGAUAUAUUCUAAACUCUGGCGACCAAUUUCCUAAACCAUGUAGUUUUUGCUAUAGAAAACAUCUAGCUGUGGGUCUACUUGUAAUACUCAGUAUAUUACCUUAUUUCAUAUGCCAUUUAUUUUUUCUUUAUGAAAAUGGUGUCAUUCAUCUUUAUUAAUGUAGUUGAAAUUCAUAAACUUUCUGUGUGAAUCAUUUAAUCAAGAAAAAUGUGUUACGGGGAUAGAUUUUAUAUAAAUGAGAAUGAAAUGAAAUGUUUCAUUAAAAUAUGUAAAAGUUGCCCAGUAUAUCUUAAGGAGAAAUCGUAUGUGUAUAAUAUUAUUGUAUUUUUGUAAGAUAAAACAAAUGUUGUAAGACCUUAAAAAUAUUGUUAGGAGAAAAAAAUACACGUAUGCAUAGAAAAAUGUCUAGAAGGAUAAAUGCUAAAAUGUUCAUCCUGGACCUCUGCAAGAUGGGGCUAUGGGUGAUUUUUUACCCCUUCCUUUAUUGUUCACCUGUAUUUUCUAAUUUUUCAAUAACGUUCAUGUGUUACUUAUUUAGAAAAGACAGGAGAUGAAUGUUUAAAGUGAUGGAUAUGGUAAUUACCCUGA